rnacentral:lncRNA from 1 species
UUGAGUAUAUCUUGAACUCUCAUAUUGUUUGUUGCUUAUUAUCUUUUAUUCAUAUUUUAAUUUGCAAAUGGGAGAAACUUUUCUAAGUGGGUUGCAUAGCUAAUGUAUAUAAACAUUUUUAUGAUACUUCAGAUUAUAGCAACAUUUUCUGACUAAUUGAAUCUCCCUCUAUAUCAGUUUUGUUAUCGUUUGUGAGAUAUCUUCUUCCUCCUUUGAAUAAGAAACUCAGAUUUUAGGCAGGCCCUAAAGAAGAUUGUUUGGUACAGUGGUGUUCUUUAGAGAAGAUGCUCUGGUGCUAUUUUUGCUGAUAUUAUGGUCUCUGUCUAGUGGAGCAAUAUGAGUCUCUAUGGUUUGCUUUUUCUCCAAUAUGACUACUGGAGACUUUGAUGCCCUUGUAACUGAGUGGGUUGAGAAAUGUUGUCCUUGCACUGAUAAGGAGAGACAUAGUGAUGCUAUAUUGUAGAAUGUGUGGCAUCAUAUUUUUUUGAUAUCACUUUUCAGGUGUGAGUGAAAUCUCAAUGUUUCAAAGUGAUUUUUAGUUUUCUGUGUAAUGUGGGUUUUUUAUGUUAAUCUCCUUAAACUAAGUAAUGUGAAGUAGUGAUUAUUUUCAAUAUUAGUUGUGUGUUUCUAGAUAAGUCACCAGUUCAUUUGAAAACGACUGCCUUUCUCAACUGGUUUUAAUAAUUGUAAGAGUGAAAAUAAUUGGUAAGAAUUUUAAAGUGUCUGGAUAUAUAUGUCUGUAUGUGUGUAUGUUUGUGUCAGGUGUCUGUAGAAGUCAGAAAUGAAAUUCAGGAUUAUAUACUAAUUUUAUUUUGAAUGCUUGAAUUGUUUCCUUACACAUUACUUAAUAGGUGUCAGUAAGAAGGCUCAAUGGAAAAAGCCAACUGGGAACUCCAGUUGGAUCACUGGAACCCAGGUUAUGUGUAAGACAGAAUAUAGCUGACAACAGAACACUUCACAGAUUAUUUUUAAUCUCAUAAAUUUGUAGUACAAUCCAUAUCGCCUUACUCAUUAUAUUAUUAUUACAUUUUAGUGAUAUCCUGAGGUGCAUCCUGGAUUCUUUUUAUAAUGCUCAUUUAUUUUGUAUGCAGUGUUGUUUUUCUUGUUUUAAUUGCAAGAUUAAAUUAGUGUAUUUCAAUUAGUCUUUCAUAUUUACAUUUUCUGGGGUCAGAUUGCUUAUGAUUAAUCAGACACCACUACAACUUGUCAGUUUGUGUUAAGGGCCACAAAACUUUUUAAAAACACUAGAUUUACAGACCAUAUUUUUGAAACUAGGAAUCUGUUCUUGUAGUACAAGAACAAUUAAGGCUAAUCAUUAAACCAUGCCCCCAGAAAUAGUUGCAAUACACAAAUCUUGGGUUAUAUUUGUAUUUUAGCAGAUAGUUGUCUAACCUGUAGUCAGUUGUGUAGGUCUAGUUUCAUCCAGACAAUCUUUGGUAGAUUUAGGAUUAGAAGGUACAGAAAGAGUAUCUUUUCUUGUACAAGUUUCUGAAUGCUCUACAUGAGUGAUUCUCAACCUAUGGGUCCCAACCCCUUUGUGGGUCAAAUACACCUUUGACUAGGAUCACUUAAGACCAUUGGAAAGCACAGAUAUUUUACAUUACAAUUCAUAACAAUAGAAAAGCAUAGUUAUGAAGUAGCAUCAAAAAUAAUUUGAUGGCAGGAGGUCCCUAUUAUAUGAAGAGAUGUAUUAAAGGACUGUCAUAUUAACUAUUUUAAAAUUAGAUGUUUUAGUUCAUUAUAAUAUCAACAUCUAUUGUGAUCAAAUAAUUCUGUGGUCAUUAAUUGCUAAUCUGCUAUUCCAGUUCCAUAGCAGCUUAUGAUAAGGGAUAAACUUUCAUGGUAUAUAUACUUGUCAGUAACUUUCUUAUGUUUAUAUAAAUGUACAUGGAGAUUUUAGAUGGAAGAUCUUUGUAUUAAUGAUUUUUCCAUUUAAUCUAUCAUCGUGGUUUAUGGAGUUUACAAAAAUAUGUUUGCUGCUGCUUGUGAUGCUGUUGAUGAUGUGUAUAAUUAUUUAACUAUGAUAAUAUUUUUGAGUUCCUGCUUAUAUAAUAGUUUUCCAAGUAUGGUAAUAUUAAAUCAUCAUCUGUAUAUGUCUUUGGUUUCUGUCAAUAUUGUGAAGUUACCUGCAUAUGUUUUCUGGGUUAAGCCAGAGCAGUGGUGUAAUAUAGUGCUAAUUUUCAUAGUUUUGUUUAUACUAAGUUUCAAUGGCUUUGUACAUAACAGCCAAUCUAAUAGGUGAAAUAAUAUUUUAAAGCCUAAAUUAAGACUAAUUUUAAAUGCUUAAUGGCCAUGAUUUUAUAAAACUAAAUAGAUUUUCAGUUGUAGAAGCAACGUAAAGUUUCCAAAUUUUGCUAAGUUUACCUAGUGAUAUGCAUAGUGAUACCUUGUCUCAAUGUUUGCAUUUUUUCAUAAAUUGCUUAAGUAUACACUAUGGUAACAAGCUUUUCUUUAUAUUUAAUUUUGAUGUAAUUAUAGAACCACAUGCUUUUUUAUAUAAUCUGACUUAUGCUCUGCAUUCAUUUCACUUAUUAUUCCCAUUACUCUUUCCCUCUCUAGUCUUCUCAUCUUAUUUCUGUUUAUACAUGUCACAGAACUUUGUUUUCAUUUAAGAUAUGCAGUUCACACUGGCCAAAAUUUUUCUGUGGUUAUUUUAUAACCACAUAAGUGUGCUUAUGUUCCUUUAAUCUUGGCUUAAAAUAUAAGAAAUGUUGAUUGUCUUGUUGAACUAUAAUAUUAACUAUAUUAUAAUAUAUUAUAAUGUAAUAUGUUAUAAUAUAUUAUAGUAUUUUGGUAAGGAUUAUAUGAUAUUAUAUAGUUAUCCUCUAGAUUCCCAUUUCUUUUCUAAUAAAAGAAAGAAAGAAAGGGGUGGUUACAUUUAAGAAAAGGAGUGGUGAUGAAACAUAAUUAGAGGGAGGAGAAAUAUAAUUAUCAUAUAUUUUGUGAGAAAAUAUCUAUAAAAGAAAGCAGAAUAAAAUUUAAGAAUAUCAGAUGCACUAUGACUAGUUUAAAAGUAUGUCAUAUGCAUUGCUCAUAUUUACAUUUCAUUAGUUGGUUUAGUCGUGUUUUAUUCUGUGGGAUAAAACAGAAUUUGCAAAAGCCAUGUCGCUUUCAUAUUACUUAAUUUGAAUCAACCCUGUAGACUAUUUUGGUUAUUCAUAGCAUUGAAUUUCUUGGAAAUAACACCUUUUAGAUUUCAAGAGCCCUCAGCUUCUGGGUUUUUCCUUGUAAAAGGAUGGCGGACAUAUAUUUGUCAUAGAAAAACUUCAGAAUAAAUGUGUGUUAUCUUCAAUAAAUCAUGUCAAGUCUAAAUGCUUAUUGUCCCAAAAUGGAUGAUCAUUAGUUUAAUUCAAUGUGUCAACUUUCUCCAAUGUUGAAGUUCUUUCUAAAUAAACAUUACAUACAAUG